CCUCGAUGACGAAGAUACUUAGCUCACUUUGAACCCAUGUGAAAAGUUCUGAACAACUGAGAGAC